rnacentral:tRNA from 1 species
GCGCCUAUAGCUCAGUGGAUAGAGCACUCGCCUCCUAAGCGAGGGGCCGAAGGUUCAAAUCCUUCUAGGCGCGCCA